AAAGCUCACAGAGCCUUUUCCCCUCGGGCUCUGUGUGGAAAGCCUUUCCUUCCCUUGAGGCUUUCCCUUCGUAACGUCUGCUGCCCCCUCCCGCAGCAGGCGUUUUUU
rnacentral:sRNA from 12 species